rnacentral:rRNA from 2 species
AGACCCGAAACCCGGUGAUCUAGCCAUGGGCAGGUUGAAGGUUGGGUAACACUAACUGGAGGACCGAACCGACUAAUGUUGAAAAAUUAGCGGAUGACCUGUGGCUGGGGGUGAAAGGCCAAUCAAACCGGGAGAUAGCUGGUUCUCCCCGAAAGCUAUUUAGGUAGCGCCUCGUGAAUUCAUCUCCGGGGGUAGAGCACUGUUUCGGCUAGGGGGCCAUCCCGGCUUACCAACCCGAUGCAAACUGCGAAUACCGGAGAAUGUUAUCACGGGAGACACACGGCGGGUGCUAACGUCCGUCGUGAAGAGGGAAACAACCCAGACCGCCAGCUAAGGUCCCAAAGUCAUGGUUAAGUGGGAAACGAUGUGGGAAGGCCCAGACAGCCAGGAUGUUGGCUUAGAAGCAGCCAUCAUUUAAAGAAAGCGUAAUAGCUCACUGGUCGAGUCGGCCUGCGCGGAAGAUGUAACGGGGCUAAACCAUGCACCGAAGCUGCGGCAGCGAACGUAUCACCCAAGACAACUUUACGGAGUUGACGAUUGACGGAGCGAAGCGACGUCAAAGCGUUCAUUAAAGUCGAGUUGGCUUAGGGAUACGUUCGUUGGGUAGGGGAGCGUUCUGUAAGCCUGUGAA